rnacentral:rRNA from 1 species
UGGGGAAUAUUGGUCAAUGGGCGAAAGCCUGAACCAGCAAUGCCGCGUGAGUGAUGAAGGCCUUCGGGUUGUAAAGCUCUGUCAGCGGGAACGAAUAAGCCGUUUAAUACACGGUGGUGACGGUACCCGCAAAGGAAGCACCGGCUAACUCUGUGCCAGCAGCCGCGGUAAUACAGAGGGUGCAAGCGUUGUUCGGAAUUACUGGGCGUAAAGCGCGUGUAGGCGGUCAUGUAAGUCGGUCGUGAAAUCCCUUGGCUCAACCAAGGAACUGCGAUCGAAACUGCUUGGCUAGAGUAUCGGAGGGGAUGGCGGAAUUCCUGGUGUAGAGGUGAAAUUCGUAGAUAUCAGGAGGAACACCUGUGGCGAAGGCGGCCAUCUGGAAGAUUACUGACGCUGAGAC